GAUGAACGCUGGCGGCGUGCCUAAUACAUGCAAGUCGAGCGAAUGGAUUAAGAGCUUGCUCUUAUGAAGUUAGCGGCGGACGGGUGAGUAACACGUGGGUAACCUGCCCAUAAGACUGGGAUAACUCCGGGAAACCGGGGCUAAUACCGGAUAACAUUUUGAACCGCAUGGUUCGAAAUUGAAAGGCGGCUUCGGCUGUCACUUAUGGAUUGACCCGCGUCGCAUUAGCUAGUUGGUGAGGUAACGGCUCACCAAGGCAACGAUGCGUAGCCGACCUGAGAGGGUGAUCGGCCACACUGGGACUGAGACACGGCCCAGACUCCUACGGGAGGCAGCAGUAGGGAAUCUUCUGCAAUGGACGAAAGUCUGACGGAGCAACGCCGCGUGAGUGAUGAAGGCCUUCGGGUCGUAAAACUCUGUUGUUAGGGAAGAACAAGUGCUAGUUGAAUAAGCUGGCACCUUGACGGUACCUAACCAGAAAGCCACGGCUAACUACGUGCCAGCAGCCGCGGUAA
rnacentral:rRNA from 1 species